GGGAGAGACUGCCACAGAGAUGUCCCUAGGGGGACAGAAGAGCAGGUACUGGUCCACAGCCCUGGCAGCUUUUCCACGGGCCAGGCACACUUUGGAGAGUGUCACGUUAGGACCUCACCCAAUCCUCACAUGCACAGGAGGUAGGAACCUGCUAUAAUCUCCGUGUUAAAGAUGAAGCCGCAGAGGCUGAGGGAGAGAACUCCCCCAAGGUCACCAGCAAGUGACAGCUGGGAUCCAGUUCCUGUCAGGCUGGCUCUGAAGCCACAUGCCAGGAUUGAGACUGCAAUCAUGCCCUAGGAGAGCGGCAGGACAGUCCUGGCCGGCCUUUUCCGGGGAGACUGCUUUGUCCAAAAUGCUGAUGUUGAUCCCUCACUUCUUAAAAACCUCCAGAAUUUGGGGCAGGCGGCAAUACCUACCACUUCCUGAGCAGUGCCCCGUCGUGGACCCUGGCUCCCUCUCUGAAGGAGGGCGCUGGCCGCCGGCCACCCGCCACACUCGGGACCGCGCAAGGCCGCCCAGCGGUGCGUGGGGGCGCAGUGGGCCCGUGAGUCUCCGAGUCUCUCAGUUCUGCUCGGAGUCUUGGCCCUGCUUCUUGCUCGCGUUUUCCCCUCAGAUGCCAGCAUUUCAUGCUUCCACCUGUCCCGCCCGACGGAUGGGAGGGCCUGAAUUAUUCUGCACCCGCAACUGAAGGGCGAUGGGCUACUUUCUCUUUUAGUGACAUACACACAGCCUCGAGGUAUCGGUGGCCUGUAGAAUUCCCUCUGUCAGUUGGGAUAAGACAGAUUAUUUUACGUUGAGGGGAGGGUGGGGCGCAUGGAUACCCCAUUCAGUUGAGCAUCCGACUCGAUUUCGGCUCAGGUCGUGAUCUCAGGGUUGUGAGAUCGAGCCUCGAGUCUGGCUCUGCACUCAGCAAGGAGGCUGCUCGAGACCCUUUGUCUCUCUCGCUCCCUCUGCACCCCUGCCCUACUCGUUCGCUCUAAAAUAAAUGAACGAACCUUUCAGUCGAGGAGAGACUGGUAGUGGGUACUUUAUUGAGAGCUCCAUAUGUAUGCUUAAGUCACGCCGGACUCGCGUGUGGGAGAGGAAUGUCAAGGGUUGAAAGACGGUUCCCCCAAAAGCCACGCAGAAGUCCAAGUCACUGGUCACCAAGGAUGCGGUUGUUCAGAAAUCGGCUGUUACCGAUGUAAUUUGUUAUGAUGAGGUCCAGUGGAGUGGGGUGGACCCCUGGUUCAGUCAGUCCUGCUGAGCAGACGGCCAUGUGAGGACAGGGACACGCGCAGGGAUGGCCACGAUGAAGGGUGAGAUGCGAGCGAUCCAGCUAGAAGCCCGGGAACGGCACGGACUGCGCACAGCCAGCAGGAGCUGGGAGAGGCAGGAAGGCUCCCCAGCCCCGCAGGUUUCCGAAGGAGCACAGCCCCGUCCACACCUGGAUUUUGCAUUUCUGGCCCGCAGCACUAUGAGAGAAUACGUUGCUGUUAUCUGCUGUGGACUCCGGUUACGGCGGCCCCAGCAAACAAGUCCAGGAAGAAGAGGGGAUGUGUCGGGGAGCCCUGAGUGGCCAGCAUUUUCCUGCGUGAUAACCAGUGCUGCAUCUCUCUGUACCCCCUGGAUCUUGACCUCCUAACACAAACAGAUAUUUAAACAAACAAAACAAGACCAAGAUCAAGUUGUCACGUUAGUAAAAAUAAACAUAAAAAGAUAAGUGAUU
rnacentral:lncRNA from 1 species